AAAAGACAUUAUUUUGAAACAGUGUAACUUUGCUUUGCACUAUACAUUCUCAGCUUUUAGCUCAACCAAAUGGCGAACUAAGUCUCUCAAAAAACGAAAAAGACAGGAGAAGUGCAUUGGAAAUAAGAAGAGUUGCGAUGGAAAAUCUAUCUCAGAGCAAGAAAAGAAAAGAAGCAAAAUGUGAAGACGACACGAAGAAAAAGAAACUGAGGAAGA